rnacentral:tRNA from 1 species
GCGGAUAUAGUACAUCGGUAGUAUGCGACCUUCCCAAGGUUGAGAGGUGGGUUCGACUCCCAUUAUCCGCUCCA